rnacentral:rRNA from 1 species
UGGAUUAUCUACCCUGAGGUGGGGGAUAACCCGGGGAAACUCGGGCUAAUACCGCAUAUGACCGCGAGGUCAAAGGGGGCUCGCAAGGGCUCUCGCCAUAGGAGGAGUCCGCGUCCGAUUAGCUAGUUGGUAGGGUAAUGGCCUACCAAGGCGACGAUCGGUAGCCGGCCUGAGAGGGUGAUCGGCCACACUGGAACUGAGACACGGCCCAGACUCCUACGGGAGGCAG